rnacentral:piRNA from 1 species
AGCAGAAAAGUCGUUGAUGUUGG